rnacentral:precursor_RNA from 1 species
UUAAUUACUCGAAUGUAUCAGCAGAAUUUUUGGAUUCACUCGGUUAAUCAUCCUAACCAAGAUCGAUUGUUGGAUUACAAAAUUGGUUUUUAUUCUGAGUUUUAUUCUCAGAUUCUACCUGAGGGGUUUUCGAUCGUUGUAGAAAUCCCAUUCUCGCUACGAGAAUUAUCUUGUCCGAAAGAAAAAGAAAUACCAAAGUUUCAGAAUUUACGCUCUAUUCAUUCAAUAUUUCCCUUUUUAGAAGACAAAUUUUUGCAUUUGGAUUAUAUUUCACAUAUAGAAAUACCCUAUCCUAUCCAUUUGGAAAUCUGGGUGCAACUCCUUCAAUACCGUAUCCAAGAUGUUCCGUCUUUGCAUUUAUUGCGAUUCUUUCUCAACUACUAUUCAAAUUGGAAUAGUUUUAUUACUUCAAUGAAAUCUAUUUUUCUUUUUAAAAAAGAAAAUAAAAGACUAUUUCGAUUCUUAUAUAAUUCUUAUGUAUCAGAAUAUGAAUUUUUCUUGGUGUUUCUUCGUAAACAAUCUUCUUGCUUACCAUUAUCAUCUUCUGGAACUUUUCUGGAACGAAUCAUCUUUUCUAGGAAGAUGGAACAUAUUGGGAUAAUGUACCCUGGUUUUUUUCGGAAAACUAUAUGGUUCUUUAUGGAUCCUCUUAUGCAUUAUGUUCGAUAUCAAGGAAAGGCAAUUCUUGCAUCAAAAGGAACUCAUUUUUUGAACAAGAAAUGGAAAUGGUACCUUAUCAAUUUGUGGCAAUAUUUAUUCUCUUUUUGGACUCAGCCGCGAAGGGUCCAUCUAAACCAAUUAGCAAACUCUUGCUUCGAUUUUCUGGGGUACCUUUCAAGUGUACCAAAAAGUAGUUUGUUAGUAAGGAAUAAAAUGCUGGAGAAUUUAUUUCUAAUAGAUACUCGAAUGAAAAAAUUAGAUACCAUAGUUCCCGCUACUGCCCUCAUAGGAUACUUAUCAAAAGCUCAAUUUUGUACUGGAUCGGGACAUCCUAUUAGUAAACCCAUUUGGACAGAUUUAUCAGAUUGGGAUAUUCUUGAUCGAUUUGGUCGCAUAUGUAGAAAUCUUUUUCAUUAUCAUAGUGGAUCUUCGAAAAAACAGACUUUGUAUCGACUAAAGUAUAUACUUCGACUUUCAUGCGCUAGAACUUUAGCUCGUAAACAUAAAAGCACGGUACGAACUUUUAUGCAACGGUUAGGUUCGGCAUUUUUAGAAGAAUUUUUUACCGAAGAAGAGUUAGUUUUUGCUUUGAUGUUCACCAAAACAAGCCUUUUUUCUUUCCGUGGAUCGCACAGUGAGCGUAUUUGGUAUUUUGAUAUUAUACGUAUCAAUGACCUGGUGAAGCCUCUUAAUUAAUCAUUAGACAAAGCUAAUAAACAGAAAAGAAAGGGUAGAUAAAUGAUCAAGAGAAAACUUUAAUAAUUUGCAUUCUGAAAUGUUCCUUUUAUUAUAAUAAAGAGUAGGCGAAUCAACUUACUAAUUUACUAAUUUUAAAAAAAUUAGUAGAACUUCCUCUUUGGAAUAGAAAUAGGCUAUUUCUACAUAGGGAAAGUCGUGUGCAAUGAAAAAUGCAAGCACGAUUUGGGGAGAGAUUUUUCUCUAUUGUAACAAAGAAGAAUUAUCUACUCCAUCCGACUAGUUCCGGGUUCGAGUCCCGGGCAACCCAU